AUUGAACGCUGGCGGCAUGCCUUACACAUGCAAGUCGAACGGCAGCACGGGAGCAAUCCUGGUGGCGAGUGGCGAACGGGUGAGUAAUAUAUCGGAACGUGCCCAGUCGUGGGGGAUAACGCAGCGAAAGCUGUGCUAAUACCGCAUACGAUCUACGGAUGAAAGCGGGGGAUCGCAAGCCCUCGCGCGAUUGGAGCGGCCGAUAUCAGAUUAGCUAGUUGGUGAGGUAAAGGCUCACCAAGGCGACGAUCUGUAGCUGGUCUGAGAGGACGACCAGCCACACUGGAACUGAGACACGGUCCAGACUCCUACGGGAGGCAGCAGUGGGGAAUUUUGGACAAUGGGCGCAAGCCUGAUCCAGCAAUGCCGCGUGCAGGAUGAAGGCCUUCGGGUUGUAAACUGCUUUUGUACGGAACGAAACGGUGAGCUCUAAUACAGUUUGCUAAUGACGGUACCGUAAGAAUAAGCACCGGCUAACUACGUGCCAGCAGCCGCCGCCG
rnacentral:rRNA from 1 species